UACGUAGGGACCGAGCGUUGUCCGGAAUCAUUGGGCGUAAAGAGCGUGUAGGCGGCCACUUAAGUCCUGCGUGAAAUCUUGCGGCUCAACCGCAAGCGGUCGUGGGAAACUGGGUGGCUAGAGUGCGGGAGAGGAGAGUGGAAUUCCUGGUGUAGCGGUGGAAUGCGCAGAUAUUAGGAAGAACACCCGUGGCGAAGGCGGCUCUCUGGAACGCAACUGACGCUGAGACGCGAAAGCGUGGGGAGCAAACAGG
rnacentral:rRNA from 1 species